UUCCAACAUUCUUCAUUGUAUUUUCUCUUCGACAACCCUCACUGGGGAAAAAACAAGCACAAGAAAUGACAGCAGUAAAAAAGGAAAAAAGAAAAGACUUAAACUCAGAUGAAAUGAACUGAUUAUUUUCAUAGCAUUAAAAGAAAGGUUGAUUAAUUUAAAUGGAUGCCAGACUCAUUUACGACAAUACACACGUAAGAUGGCAGGUUUCUGAACAAGGCAAUUAAGAAGCACAGAGAUGGACACAGGCUGUAUGGGACUGCGAGGUUUGCAUUUCCAAAAGCAGCACUGUAUCGAAGUGGAGGACAACCUUUUUUUUUUUUUUUAAGGUAAUGGUUUCAUGUAUUUCGUGUCUGGUUAUCUGAGGGGGUCUAUCCUAACUAGUGGUUCAGAGGUUCUGUCACAUAGCAAUUUAAAUGGAAAAAGUGCUACUCUUACCAAAAGCCUUUAAAAAGCUGCAUUUUUCUAUAUUAGCAACAGCUGUUAACCGUCUCCAAUUCAAAAUGCUGAUUUUCCUUGCAGAAUUCAACAUGUAGCAAAACCAUCUGGCUAAGAAGGUGGCUGUCACAUGCUGUCUCAACCUGGGAGACAGCUGUCCCGGGCACACAGCAGCGCCGCGGGCUGUGCGAUGGCUACAUGGCUCUCAGCGCUGGGGCGUCGUGAAGAAGUGACCCCACCGAGGUCACCUUCUCCAGAGUGGUGAAAAGAAAUCCACUUCCAUAAAAUGCAAUAUAUGGGAAAGCCAGCUGGAGGCCAGAACAGAAGCACAACAUAAUUGGAGCUGGAAAACAGAGAAGCCACCGCCCGUUUCUUAUGCAGGGUCUGUGGGGUUCCCUGUCAUCUACUCUGCUGCCUUCAGAGGUGUCCAGCCACCGUUUUCCACACAGGAAUGUGAAGGUUACAAAUCCUCCCAUUUUACAGACGUUGCCGUGUUAAAAUUAAGAGCGAUAAGAACAGAAACCAAAGUGACCUUUUCUCUCUCACACCUCCAUCUGGCACAACUGCCCAAAAGUGGACCUUAUUUUUUGGUAAAUUUUGAUUUUUUUUCAUAAUUAACCAUAUUUGAUUUGUAAGAGAGAAAAGGUAUCUGGACUUGAAUCUGGAAUUAAAGCAGCAGGGUUUUUUUUUUUUGGAUGAAAAAUGCUAUUUCAAGAAAAAUAAAUGUAUCUAACUUCAACAGC